rnacentral:rRNA from 1 species
AACGAACGCUGGCGGCAUGCCUAACACAUGCAAGUCGAACGAGACCUUCGGGUCUAGUGGCGCAAGGGUGCGUAACGCGUGGGAACCUGCCCUUAGGUUCGGAAUAACUCCCCGAAAGGGGUGCUAAUACCGGAUAAUGUCUUCGGACCAAAGAUUUAUCGCCUUUGGAUGGGCCCGCGUUGGAUUAGCUAGUUGGUAGGGUAAAAGCCUACCAAGGCGACGAUCCAUAGCUGGUCUGAGAGGAUGACCAGCCACACUGGGACUGAGACACGGCCCAGACUCCUACGGGAGGCAGCAGUGGGGAAUAUUGGACAAUGGGCGAAAGCCUGAUCCAGCAAUGCCGCGUGAGUGAUGAAGUCCUUAGGGUUGUAAAGCUCUUUUACCCGGGAUGAUAAUGACAGUACCGGGAGAAUAAGCUCCGGCUAACUCCGUG